rnacentral:rRNA from 1 species
GAUCAUGGCUCAGGAUUAACGCUGGCGGCGCACAUAAGACGUGCAAGUCGAACGGACUUAAUCGAUUCUUUUAGAUUCGAAGCGGUUAGUGGCGGACUGGUGAGUAACACGUAAGGAACCUGCCUAUUAGAGGGGAAUAACAACGAGAAAUCGUUGCUAAUACCGCAUAAGCUAGUAGUACCGCAUGGUACAGCUAGAAAAGGNGAAAUCCACUAAUAGAUGGCCUUGCGUCCGAUUAGCUAGUUGGUGGGG